AUGACUAAACCAACUUGAUCACAACACUAAACAUGAGUGUAUCGAUGAAAGCUUUCAUCAGGUUCUUUAGAAUUUGACAGCUCGUCUGAUUGUUUGGAGUUGAUGAAGCUGUUCUUGACAAGAUAAUCGCUCUCAUCAUCAUUCCCUGAUGAAACCACUGGCUUCUUUCUGAUAUGGUCAAUUCCCUUUUUCAUUCCGAAGAUGAUGGAAUCCUUCUGAAAGCUCUAGCACUCUCUGAUCUCUUGGCAACUUUGUCUCUGCCACUCUUCUCUGGUGUGUUCUUCAAAUCAAAACUCAUUCUGCUUCUACGAGAACUUGUUUCCACCUUGCUUGUGUUGUUGUUUGUCAUCUCCUCAGCCUGCAACUUCAAGUCCACUUCUUCUUCAUCAACCUCUUCAAGCAUAGGGAACUUUUGAUCACCACAUGGAUCGUUUCCAAUUCUCAACAUUUCCUUUCCCUCCCUCUUAUCCUGCUUUCCUCAUCCUCCUCAAUCUCUGGUGCCUUGAAAUCUUCCACCUCCUCUAUAUCCCCAUGCCUCAGAAGCUGCUGCUUUAUGCUCUUCCUCAAAGUAUACCCUUAACUCCUUGUGUGGACUACAGUUCUUCACCUGUUCCUGGACGAUACAAAGAGAGCUUCAUGUCUCUAUCGUCCAGCAACAGGUGACUCUUCCAUCUUUCAACAAAAGUCUGGAUCUUUUUCUUGCUUUCUCCAAUUCAGGCCUCACUUGGUUCUCCAGCUCCUCUCUUUCUUUAAACUUCAUGUGAAGUUCUUUCUCUGAACCAUCACAAAUAGCCUUUUGCGCCUCUAGUCUUCCCUUGUUUAACCUCAAUUGUUCUUUAUACACAACACUCCUACAAACCAACAAGAGACGUUCAACAAAAGUGAUUACACAAGAUAUUUGCCUAAACAUAUAUUUAAAUGCAACUGUUGUAUAGAGAAAAUUUCUUAGCAUCGCGGAUCAUCUUCUCAAGUGUAUUCCUGUAUGAGCAUUGAGCUUCUGCCAAUCUCCUACACUUUUCAGCUCUUAUUCUUCGCUUAACCAGCUCGUUCUCUAACUCAUGAAUGUGUCAGUGAUUUAAUGCAGAAAAAAGAAGGAUGAAGAGAAGGCGCUUAAAGAACUCAGGGCCAAGGCUUCACAAAAAGGAUCAUUUGGAGGCACAGGACUUAAGAAGAGUGGAAAGAAAUAAGACUAAUCUACCUCAAAUGUAAUCUCAAAUCUCCUAUAUAUGCUUGGCAUUGUACUAUGGCUACUUAUAUAGUAAUCUUUAGAAUCAUAGUACUUUGCACUUUCUUCAAAAUUCUGCAACUUUCAUUAGGGUUUUAAGUUGUUCCAAGCUUCGAUCAAACACAAAAAAAAAGAUCAUCUGCACGAGCAUUAACAUAAACCACAACCGAUAUUUUGAGAAUCCAACCACCAAA